rnacentral:rRNA from 1 species
GCCAACGGCCAUACCACGUUGAACACACCAGUUCUCGUCCGAUCACUGAAGUUAAGCAACGUCGGGCCCGGUUAGUACUUGGAUGGGGUGACCGCCUGGGAACCCCGGGUGCUGUUGGUA